UAAUAGAAAGUCAACAUUUUCUUAGACCUCUUCAGCUGAUUGUUUAUUUUUCUAUAACCUAUAUAUGGAUGUUUUCCCCCCUCUUGAGAUAAUGUUCUAAAUAUAAACAAGCUACCUGAUGUAAAUUUGCGUGAUUUAUUUAAACAAAUGUGUAAUUUUGAGUACAGAAUUCAACUGUUACCUCCAAAAAAGAAACCUUUUUAAUAGAAUUUAACAGAAGUUGUGAAACUAGAAUUUUUCCCUCUAAGAUUAACUGGAAAUUCAUUGUAAAUCAACCUAAUUAACAGAAUUUAUUACUCCACUCUGGAAAAUGCUGUCAGAUAACUAAGGAAUAUAUAUGGAAUAAAUGUACAUAUGUAAAAUAUGGUUACUAGAGUUAGAAAUGUGCCAAAGUCCAUUUAUCCCAAAUCCUGUCUGUAAAGAAGAGGAGGGGUACAUUGGUAAACAUUUUAGAGUGCUUAAAAAUGCCAAAAACAAAAUGGUAAUUUCUACUUGGAUAAAGUUAAAAAAAAAGUGAAAUGUGUGGA